UUAGUGGCGCACGGGUGCGUAACGCGUGGGAAUCUACCCUUGGGUUCGGAAUAACAGUUAGAAAUGACUGCUAAUACCGGAUGAUGACGUAAGUCCAAAGAUUUAUCGCCCAAGGAUGAGCCCGCGUAGGAUUAGCUAGUUGGUGAGGUAAAGGCUCACCAAGGCGACGAUCCUUAGCUGGUCUGAGAGGAUGAUCAGCCACACUGGGACUGAGACACGGCCCAGACUCCUACGGGAGGCAGCAGUGGGGAAUAUUGGACAAUGGGCGAAAGCCUGAUCCAGCAAUGCCGCGUGAGUGAUGAAGGCCUUAGGGUUGUAAAGCUCUUUUACCCGGGAUGAUAAUGACAGUACCGGGAGAAUAAGCUCCGGCUAACUCCGUGCCAGCAGCCGCGGUAAUACGGAGGGAGCUAGCGUUGUUCGGAAUUACUGGGCGUAAAGCGCACGUAGGCGGCUUUGUAAGUUAGAGGUGAAAGCCUGGAGCUUAACUCCAGAACUGCCUUUAAGACUGCAUCGCUUGAAUCCAGGAGAGGUGAGUGGAAUUCCGAGUGUAGAGGUGAAAUUCGUAAAUAUUCGGAAGAACACCAGGUGGCGGAAAGGC
rnacentral:rRNA from 1 species